CUGUUUUCGUACAAGCAGCAGUCAUAGCAUUUCGUGUCCACUGCGUACGAGGAAGGUGGGUGGUAUGGGGAGCAAGGACUGCCAGCAAGGACCGCAUCCAUCUGGUUAACCUCCCCCCAGCCUUUCCAUACGACAACGCUCUCGCUGUUGUAUGUGCUGAAAGAAAAAUUCAGCGUAUAGAUUCGUCUGAUGUCGGCGCUAAGUGCGGAAAAGACGUUUCUAGGGUAUGUGCAGCCAGCUUCUGAGAAAUUUCUUGUCUGUUCGCAAAAAGCAAAACGCAUACCAUGUGGUAGACCUAUAGCUGUGGCCUCGCCCUUCUAGCUCGAGGUCGUGGGCUCGAUCCUGGCUGCGCCGGAACGUGCUCGAUAGGGGAGAAAUGCAAAAGCAAUUGUGCACUUUGAUUUAGGCGCGCGUUGAAGAAUAAAGUGCCCCAUUAC
rnacentral:lncRNA from 1 species